UCCAAUGGCAAAGAUUCUACGGGAAAGUCAACCUCUAUAACACACCAGGCAGAACUAACCGAAAGAUCGCAACAAAAGCAGCCACAUCCGAAGGACCACCAGCAUAAGGGGCACCCAAAACAUCAUCAGCAUCACAAUCCUCAGCACCGACUUGAUCAACCUGAGCAACUAGAAGAGCGUCAUCGUCAAGCGCCGCAACAGUCGCAACACGGGCCUCAACAACAGGCUCAGCUGAGCCUGAAGAACAACACCAAGAACAGCGACAACAGAAACAAGAGCAGCAGCCACCACCAAAGCACGCUCAACAGCAUUCUUCGCAACUGCAGCAAGAGCCACGAGAGGUGCAACCUCGGCAGCUGCAUAAGCAACUUCCACGCAGCUGCCUGAAGCGCGCAUCCUCAGAGAAACACCUCACAGUGACGGACGCUCUACAAUCGGGCCACACAACAGCUACCAGUUCUAUGAGCCAGCGAGACAGGAAGAGAAGUCACCCAAUUGGAGGAACUAGGGAAGGUGCGGCUACCAGUGUCAGUGCAGUGACAGAUGACGCAGGAAUGAAGCAACAGACAAAAGAACGGAAACUGGACGUUUGUCCUGUGCACAACCCUCCACCAGUCGAUGUCUACUACGCCGGUUCUGGAUUUCCGUUGUGUACAUGCAAAAAAAGGCCCACUUGGUUUGACCUUUUUCUUGGAAGAUCAGCGGUCAAGAAGGCUGAGUCA